rnacentral:rRNA from 14 species
AAAACGACUCUCGGCAACGGAUAUCUCGGCUCAUGCAUCGAUGAAGAACGUAGCGAAAUGCGAUACUUGGUGUGAAUUGCAGAAUCCCGUGAACCAUCGAGUCUUUGAACGCAAGUUGCGCCCGAAGCCAUUCGGCCGAGGGCACGCCUGCCUGGGCGUCACGC